AAGGUGGUUGCCCCGUUAUUAAGGGGAACAAAUGGUCCUCUACGAAAUGGAUUCACGUCGAUGAGUAUAAGGUUUAGAUUUUCUUCAAAAGGUUCAAAUGUGUUAUCAUUUAGUUAUAACAGUUAAUGUUCGAGCAUGACACGAGACCGUUUGGUGGAUCAUAUUCUCAUCCUUCACAAUACUAUAAUAUUUUAUGUAAUUUCUUUCGUAUCAAAUCCUUUCAUCAUUUUUUAUUUUCGAGCUACAAUUUGUAUUUUGAUAAUAUGACAAAACGUAAGUAUAUAGCAACCAUGAUACAUAUCACUAAACAUAGAUUCCUAACACCAACAUCAUGAAC